AGCUUUGCGCAGUGGCAGUAUCAUAGCCAAUGAGGUUUAUCUGAGGUGCGAUUAUUGCUAAUUGAAAAAAUUCCAUAUCAUUUAUGUUUUUGUUUUCUGAAUGCAGGUUAAAAUAACUUGUGACUAGCCCACAUUA